UACAGAGGUCUCAAGCGUUGUUCGGAUUCAUUGGGCGUAAAGGGUGCGUAGGUGGCGCUGUAAGUCGGGUGUGAAAUUUCGGAGCUUAACUCCGAAACUGCAUUCGAUACUGCCGUGCUUGAGGACUGGAAAGGAGACUGGAAUUUACGGUGUAGCGGUGAAAUGCGUAGAUAUCGUAAGGAAGACCAGUGGCGAAGGCGGGUCUCUGGACAGUUCCUGACGCUGAGGCACGAAGGCCAGGGGAGCAAACGGG
rnacentral:rRNA from 1 species